GAUGAACGCUGGCGGCGUGCCUAAUACAUGCAAGUCGAACGGAAAGGCCAGGCGCUUGCUGCUCGCACGAUAGCGGCACGCGUGUGUGUCACACGUGGAAACCCUACUUGUAAGACUGAGAUAACUUCGGGACACCGGCGCUAACACCAGAGAAUAUAUUGAAGCACGUUGGGCGAUGGAAAGAUACGGUUUUUCUGGCUGGUCUCGAUGCUUCUCAGCCGCAUGAGGUGGUUGUGACGGUAACGGCUUUCGAAGGGAAGGAGGCGUAGCCGACCGGCGGGGGUGAUAGGCCACACUGGAACUGAGACACGGUCCAGACGCCUACGGGAGGCAGCAGUAGGGAAUCUGCCGCAAUGGGCGAAAGCUUGACGGAGCAACGCCGCGUGAGUGAUGAAGGUCUUCGGAUCGUAAAACUCUGUUAUUAGGGAAGAACAAAUGUGUAAGUAAAUAUGCACGUCUUGACGGUACCGAAUCAGAAAGCCACGGCUAACUACGUG
rnacentral:rRNA from 1 species